ensembl:lncRNA
GCAAAUCUGUUUUUUAAAGGAAUGUGGGGUGAUACAGAGAGACGCGGCUCGGAAGAACAUUUGUCCAUAAGAAACUGUUGAAUGACUUUGCAAGAUGAAGCCAGCUUGUGCGCUGCGUGUGAGCCGGCGGGCCUCUCCGAAAUGCUCGUUCUUCCUCUGCUGCAAACGCUGGUCCUGUCCUGCACGAACAGGAAGCACAGCACCUCCCACGCCAGGGCCUUCACUGGCAGUCUGUGUUCCCGAGCGCUAGCGUCAGGCAGGGCCCCGGCCAGGGGCUCGACGAGGGUGACCUCCUUCCGCUCGCUCAAGUACCCUCUGGUUACCAAGUGACCCAAGUUCCCUAGAAGUGGGUAAGUAGGUUUCCAGCCUGCCUAUUUGAUGAACCUGUAUUCUUUUUUAAAAAAAUUUAUUUUUUAUUUUAAUUGGAGAGUAAUUACUUUACAAUAUUGUGUCGCUUUCUGCCAUACAUCACCAUGAAUCAGCCACAGGUAUACAUAUGUCCCUGCCCUCCUGAACCUCCCUCCCACCUCCUCCUCCAUCCCACCUCUCUAGGUUGUUACAGAGCACAAGAUUUGAGUUCCCUGCGCCAGACAGCAAAUUUCCACUGGCUAUCUUAAUUUAACAUAUGGUAAUGUAUACCAAACCUGUGUUCUUAGCCACCAUCCAAUAGAGUCAUCUGGUCAUAUAAAUGUGAGUGACAAAAAAAAAAAAGAUACAAGAAUAACCAACAUAAAUAUGCAAAUUGUGCCAAGGCUUUGUGCAUAUUGCGUUUGUACCUCACAGGUUUUGUGAGGGAGAUAAUGAUUAUUAUUAUCCCCACGAGACAGGUGAGGAAACCAAGGCUUGGGGAAAGUGAGUGCUAAGGGCCACACAGCUUUGUGGAUCAGCAGUUAUCUUAGCUCGAGCUGCUGUCAUGAGCUACUACAGGCGGGGUGGCAUAGUGACCGACUUUGACUUCUCACAGUUCUGGAGGCUGUGGUGUCCAAAAUCAAGGUGCCAGCAGAUCUUUGACCGACUUUGAGUUCUCACAGUUCUGGAGGCUGCGGUGUCCAAAAUCAAGGUGCCAGCAGAUCUUUGACCGACUUUGACUUCUCACAGUUCUGGAGGCUGCGGUGUCCAAAAUCAAGGUGCCAGCAGAUCUUUCCUGGUUUGCAGAUGGCAGAGAGUAGAGAGAGAGAGGAGGCAAUCUUCCUAGUUUUUCUUCUUGUUAGGGCAUGAAUUCUGUCAUGGGGGCUUCACCCUCAUGACUUAAUCAGUUCCCAAAGGCCCUACGACCAAAUGCCAUCAUACUGGGGAUUAGGGUUCCCGCAUAUCACGUUGGGAAGGGCGCAGGCAUCAGUCCAUAACAGAAGUCACAGCUUAAUGGACUUCCCUGGUGGUCCAGUGGCUAAGAAUCUGCCGGCCAAUGCAGGGGACACAGGUUUGAGUCCUGGUCUGAGAAGAUGCCACAUGGCAGAGGGGUGCUAAACCCGUGAGCCACAACCACUGAGAUCAUGCACCCUAGAGGCCACGCUCUGCAACAAGAAGCCAGAGCAGUGAGAAGCCCGCACAUCACAAAUAGAGAGCAGCCCCUGCUCGCGACAACUAGCAAAAGUCCGUACGCAGGAAUAAAGACCCAUGGCAACCAAAAUUAAAUUAAUUUUUAAAAGUUAUAACUUGAGAAAUCAGAAAAGAGGAAUUUAUUUACUUUCUUUGCAGCAAGGGAGAAUCGUGCUGCCAACUGUUGAAUUUCCACUUAAUUGUUUUGUUCAACAUGGAACACGUUUGGUCUUCAGUGCUCCAGACACAAACAGCGAGAGGCACAGGGACACGCAAGUCUUCAAAGUCCUGAAGCCACAGGGGGGCAAAAAUAGGCAGCUUGAUGUCAGCGAUGAAAGAGUUAAAAAUCCUCUUGAUUGUUAGCCUCAGACAUUGCAAAACCAGGCCAGCAACUUUUUUUUUUUUCCCAGAAAACGUUAUAAGUAAACACAGUAUGUAAUAGAUCUGUACUGUCUAAUGCUAAGCCGUGGUCAGCGUCGGAAGGUAACAGAAAAUGCAAGACAGGUAGCAUAUGAAGACUCAGGGUGACAAAGGCUUUCUUUUUCUUUUCUUAUGAUGGAU